rnacentral:rRNA from 1 species
AUGACGACAGAGGGUCUGGUGCCGAUCACGCGGGACUACCUCGCGCGCUACUACGACAAGUACCCGCUGCCCCCGAUCCCCGACGGCGUAAUCGCCCUCGCUGCCCGCCUCCGCGCUCUGUCCGCCGAACUCGCCGCCGCCUCUCCCUUCUCCCCCGAGGAGGAGCACUUGGAACAAGAGGCAUCUGGUGUACCUGCCCAUAAAAUAGAUGAGAACAUGUGGAAGAACAGAGAACAGAUGGAAGAGAUUCUGUUUCUGCUUAAUAAAUCUCGUCGUCCCGUUGCUCUUCAACAGAAGUCCACACUAGAAGACGCUGAGAUAGUUUCCACACUUGAUGAUUGUGAAACUAAAUUGAAAGAGAUGUUGAAGAAGUUGGAACAGUUUCAGCUAAAAAAUGCCGAUAAUGUUUUCAAUACAGUUAUGACAUACAUGCCACAAGACUUCCGCGGUACACUGAUCAGGCAACAGCGAGAACGCUCUGAGAGAAAUAAGCAAGCGGAGGUUGAUGCUGUAGUUAGUUCUGGUGGAAGCAUUCAUGAUAGAUAUGCAUUGCUAUGGAAGCAGCAAAUGGAUAGGCGGGUGCAAUUAGCGCAGCUUGGUUCUGCAACAGGUGUAUAUAAGACACUUGUUAGGUACUUGGUUGGUGUUCCACAGGUGUUAUUGGAUUUUAUUCGACAAAUAAAUGAUGCUAAUGGACCUAUGGAAGUGCAAAGAGAACGCUACGGGCCAGCACUAUACACACUUACAAAACUGGUGCUUGCAGUUCGGUUGUAUCUACAUCUCUCUUUGGCACGAUAUGGACAGAAGAAAAUAGGGAAGGAUGACAUUGCUGUGUUGCAGCAGGCAGUGGUUAUAUACACCGAGGAAUUUGGGAAGUUCACUACAUUCAUCGGUGAGGUUUUUGUGAAUGCCCCAUUCUUCAUAUCUGCUGAGGAUGCAGGUGCUGAUUCGAGGAAAAACGAUGAGUACCGAGAAACCAUUAUUCCAGCGGGAAAGACACAUGAGGUACCAUUUUAG